AGAGUUUGAUCCUGGCUCAGAUUGAACGCUGGCGGCAGGCUUAACACAUGCAAGUCGAGCGGUAGCACAAGGGAGCUUGCUCCCUGGGUGACGAGCGGCGGACGGGUGAGUAAUGUCUGGGAAACUGCCUGAUGGAGGGGGAUAACUACUGGAAACGGUAGCUAAUACCGCAUAACGUCGCAAGACCAAAGAGGGGGACCUUCGGGCCUCUUGCCAUCAGAUGUGCCCAGAUGGGAUUAGCUAGUAGGUGGGGUAAUGGCUCACCUAGGCGACGAUCCCUAGCUGGUCUGAGAGGAUGACCAGCCACACUGGAACUGAGACACGGUCCAGACUCCUACGGGAGGCAGCAGUGGGGAAUAUUGCACAAUGGGCGCAAGCCUGAUGCAGCCAUGCCGCGUGUGUGAAGAAGGCCUUCGGGUUGUAAAGCACUUUCAGCGAGGAGGAAGGUGGUGAGCUUAAUACGCUCAUCAAUUGACGUUACUCGCAGAAGAAGCACCGGCUAACUCCGUGCCAGCAGCCGCGGUAAUACGGAGGGUGCAAGCGUUAAUCGGAAUUACUGGGCGUAAAGCGCACGCAGGCGGUUUGUUAAGUCAGAUGUGAAAUCCCCGGGCUCAACCUGGGAACUGCAUUUGAAACUGGCAAGCUAGAGUCUCGUAGAGGGGGGUAGAAUUCCAGGUG
rnacentral:rRNA from 1 species